rnacentral:rRNA from 1 species
GAUGAACGCUGACAGAAUGCUUAACACAUGCAAGUCAACUUGAACUUCGGUUUGGGUGGCGGACGGGUGAGUAACGCGUAAAGAACUUGCCUCACAGCUAGGGACAACAUUUGGAAACGAAUGCUAAUACCUGAUAUUAUGAUUAUAUGGCAUCGUAUAAUUAUGAAAGCUAUAUGCGCUGUGAGAGAGCUUUGCGUCCCAUUAGCUAGUUGGAGAGGUAACAGCUCACCAAGGCGAUGAUGGGUAGCCGGCCUGAGAGGGUGAUCGGCCACAAGGGGACUGAGACACGGCCCUUACUCCUACGGGAGGCAGCAGUGGGGAAUAUUGGACAAUGGACCGAGAGUCUGAUCCAGCAAUUCUGUGUACACGAUGAAGUUUUUCGGAAUGUAAAGUGCUUUCAGUUGGGAAGAAAAAAAUGACGGUACCAACAGAAGAGGUGACGGCUAAAUACGUG